rnacentral:rRNA from 1 species
AUACGGAAGGUCCGGGCGUUAUCCGGAUUUAUUGGGUUUAAAGGGAGCGCAGGCGGCACUUCAAGCGUGACGUUAAAUUUCGGGGCUCACCCCCGUUUUGCGUCGCGAACUGUUGUGCUUGAGUAGGCGGCAGGGAGGCGGAAUUCGCGGUGUAGCGGUGAAAUGCUUAGAUAUCGCGAGGAACUCCGAUAGCGCAGGCAGCCUCCCGUUGCUUUACUGACGCUCAUGCUCGAAGGUGCGGGUAUCGAACAGGAUUAGAUACCCUGGUAGUCCGCACUGUAAACGAUGGAUGCCCGCUGUUGGGCCUUUUGGGUUCAGUGGCCAAGAGAAAUCGUUAAGCAUCCCACCUGGGGAGUACGCCGGCAACGGUGUAACUCAAAGGAAUUGACGGGG